rnacentral:rRNA from 1 species
GUCGAGCGGAUGAAGGGAGCUUGCUCCUGGAUUCAGCGGCGGACGGGUGAGUAAUGCCUAGGAAUCUGCCUGGUAGUGGGGGAUAACGUCCGGAAACGGGCGCUAAUACCGCAUACGUCCUGAGGGAGAAAGUGGGGGAUCUUCGGACCUCACGCUAUCAGAUGAGCCUAGGUCGGAUUAGCUAGUUGGUGGGGUAAAGGCCUACCAAGGCGACGAUCCGUAACUGGUCUGAGAGGAUGAUCAGUCACACUGGAACUGAGACACGGUCCAGACUCCUACGGGAGGCAGCAGUGGGGAAUAUUGGACAAUGGGCGAAAGCCUGAUCCUGCCAUGCCGCGUGUGUGAAGAAGGUCUUCGUAUUGUUAAGCACUAUAAGUUGGGAGGAA